rnacentral:rRNA from 1 species
GACGAACGCUGGCGGCGUGCUUAACACAAGCAAGUCGAACGGAAAGGCCCUGCUUUUGUGGGGUGCUCGAGUGGCGAACGGGUGAGUAACACGUCAGUAACCUGCCCUUGACUUUGGGAUAACUUCAGGAAACUGGGGCUAAUACCGGAUAGGAGCUCCUGCUGCAUGGUGGGGGUCGGAAAGUUUCGGCGGUUGGGGAUGGACUCGCGGCUUAUCAGCUUGUUGGUGGGGUAGUGGCUUACCAAGGCUUUGACGGGUAGCCGGCCUGAGAGGGUGACCGGCCACAUUGGGACUGAGAUACGGCCCAGACUCCUACGGGAGGCAGCAGUGGGGAAUAUUGCACAAUGGGCGGAAGCCUGAUGCAGCAACGCCGCGUGCGGGAUGACGGCCUUCGGGUUGUAAACCGCUUUCGCCUGUGACGAAGCGUGAGUGACGGUAAUGGGUAAAGAAGCACCGGCUAACUACGUG